rnacentral:misc_RNA from 1 species
CGUCAUUACACCACUCAAGCCUCGCUUGGUAUUGGGCGACGCGGUACGCCGCGCGCCUCAAAUCUUCCGGCUGGGUCUCGAUCGUCCCUCAGCGUUGUGGAAACUAUUCGCUAAAAGGUGCACGUUUCGGUCACGCCGUUAAAACAAACCAAACAUUAAAGGUUGACCUCGGAUCAGGUAGGGAUACCCGCUGAACUUAA